rnacentral:misc_RNA from 1 species
GAUGAAGAACGCAGCGAAAUGCGAUAAGUAAUGUGAAUUGCAGAAUUCAGUGAAUCAUCGAGUCUUUGAACGCACAUUGCGCCCCCUGGUAUUCCGGGGGGCAUGCCUGUCCGAGCGUCAUUGCUGCCCUCAAGCACGGCUUGUGUGUUGGGCCGUCGUCCCCCUCCUAGGGGACGGGCCCGAAAGGCAGCGGCGGCACCGCGUCCGAUCCUCGAGCGUAUGGGGCUUCGUCACCCGCUCCGUAGGCCCGGCCGGCGCUUGCCGACACAUCAAUCUUUUUUCCAGGUUGACCUCGGAUCAGGUAGGGAUACCCGCUGAACUUAAGCAUAUCAAUAAGCGGAGGA